GUCACUGUAGCGCAAUGGGUAGCGCAUUAGUCUUUUAAUCCAAAGGUCGUGGGUUCGAAUCCCACCUGGGAUG